UGUCAACUUCCACAAUUCCAUUGAUCUGAUUACUUUCUAGAGGUAAAAGGAAAUUGCAUCUAGGUGAAAAGUAUACCUGAAUAACUACUACCCAGUAUAGUCCCACAAAGAGGGUCUAGAAUACCUGAGUAAAUCAAGUGAAAUAAAUCACUUCUUAUUUCCCAAGUGAAAUUGUGGUAUCAUGUCACGCAAAGAAGGAUGCUUCGCUAUGACAUCUAUUAGUAACUUUGCUGUUCUUGCAUCAAAUGAGAAGCCCCUUUCAUUCAUUUCCUCCAAAAAGGUUAUCAUUUCAGUAACUUUGCUAAACUUGAGAAAUCCUUGCACAAUAAUAUUAUAAGUGGCAGUAUCCGGCGAACAACCAUUCCCCUCCAUUUUUCUUAGCAUAUCUUUAGCUUCAUCUAACAACCCUUCUAGACAAAAUCCAUUUAUCAUUAUAUUGUAUGUUAUCACAUCGGGAAACAAUCCAAUUAAAGAAAGCUUCUCAAAUAUAGCAUGAGCUCUGUAUGUUAUCACGUCGGGAAACAAUCCAAUUAAAGAAAGCUUCUCAAAAAUAGCAUGAGCUCUUUCAAGAUGGCCAGUUUUGCACAAUCCGUCUAUUACAACAUUGUAAAAUUCAAUAUCAGUAUCUUCUCU
rnacentral:lncRNA from 1 species